CCUACGGGAGACAGCAGUGAGGAAUAUUGGUCAAUGGGAGAGAUCCUGAACCAGCCAAGCCGCGUGAGGGAAGACGGCCCUAUGGGUUGUAAACCUCUGUCAGCAGGGAAGAACGGUCACUGUGCUAAUCAGCAGUGAAUUGACGGUACCUGCAAAGGAAGCACCGGCGAACUCCGUGCCAGCAGCCGCGGUAAUACGGAGGGUGCGAGCGUUAAUCGGAAUUACUGGGCGUAAAGCGCUCGUAGGCGGUAUGUCAAGUCAAGGGUGAAAUCCCCGCGCUCAACGUGGGAACUGCCUUUGAAACUGGCAAACUGGAGUGUGUGAGAGGAUAGUGGAAUUCCAGGUGUAGGAGUGAAAUCCGUAGAUAUCUGGAGGAACAUCAGUGGCGAAGGCGACUAUCUGGCACAUAACUGACGCUGAGGAGCGAAAGCGUGGGUAGCAAACAGGAUUAGAUACCCCUGUAGUC
rnacentral:rRNA from 1 species